AGAGUUUGAUCAUGGCUCAGAACGAACGUUGGCGGCGUGGAUUAGGCAUGCAAGUCGAGGGAAUCCCAGCAAUGGGGGAACCGGCGUAAGGGGCAGUAAGGCAUGGGUACCUACCUUUGGGUUCGGGAUAGCCAUCAGAGAUGGUGGGUAAUACCGGAUGACGUCUGGCGACCAAAGAUUUAUCGCCCGGAGAGGGGCCCAUGUGAUAUUAGGUAGUUGGUGAGGUAACGGCUCACCAAGCCGAAGAUGUCUAGCAGGUGUGAGAGCACGGCCUGCCACAUCGGGACUGAGACACUGCCCGGACUCCUACGGGAGGCUGCAGCGACGAAUCUUCCGCAAUGGGCGCAAGCCUGACGGAGCGACGCCGCGUGCGGGAUGAAGCGGCUUUGCCGUGUAAACCGCUGUCAGGGGAUAGAAACAUUGAUCAUCUCCAAAGGAAGGGGCGACUAACUCUGUGCCAGCAGUCGCGGUAAGACAGAGGCCCCGAGCGUUAAUCGGAAUCACUGGGCUUAAAGGGUGCGUAGGCGGACUUGUAAGUGUCGUGUGAAAGCCCGCCGCUCAACGGUGGAACCGCACGGCAAACUGCGAGUCUAGAGGAACUCAGAGGCCGGCAGAACGAUUGGUGGAGCGGUGGAAUGUGUAGAUAUCAAUCGGAAUGCCGAAGGUGAAGACCGCCGGCUGGGGGUUUCCUGACGCUGAGGCACGAAAGCGUGGGGAGCAAACAGGAUUAGAUACCCUGGUAGUCC
rnacentral:rRNA from 1 species